rnacentral:tRNA from 1 species
AUUUAUAAAGUAUCUUGUAUAUUUGACUUCCAAUCAAAAGGGCUAAUUUUUAGUAUAAAUA